AUUGAACGCUGGCGGCAGGCCUAACACAUGCAAGUCGAGCGGUUGAAGGGAGCUUGCUCCUGGAUUCAGCGGCGGACGGGUGAGUAAUGCCUAGGAAUCUGCCUGGUAGGGGGGGAUAACGUCCGGAAACGGGCGCUAAUACCGCAUACGCCCUGAGGGAGAAAGUGGGGGAUCUUCGGACCUCACGCUAUCAGAUGAGCCUAGGUCGGAUUAGCUAGUUGGUGGGGUAAAGGCCUACCAAGGCGACGAUCCGUAACUGGUCUGAGAGGAUGAUCAGUCACACUGGAACUGAGACACGGUCCAGACUCCUACGGGAGGCAGCAGUGGGGAAUAUUGGACAAUGGGCGAAAGCCUGAUCCAGCCAUGCCGCGUGUGUGAAGAAGGUCUUCGGAUUGUAAAGCACUUUAAGUUGGGAGGAAGAGCAGUAAGUUAAUACCUUGCUGUUUUGACGUUACCAACAGAAUAAGCACCGGCUAACUUCGUG
rnacentral:rRNA from 1 species